rnacentral:ncRNA from 1 species
GGAAAAGCUAUGAAGAGGACGAGUAGGUAGAAGCGGCUUUCAGAGAGUUGGCGGUUGGUGCGAGCCAAUAAGUUCGUUUCUACUGAAAAUCCCCUCGGAGCUGCAGGCUGAACUUGUAAGUAGGCUGGGCCGGAUUUUCCGUUAUCUAAAAUGAGGGAUUAAGGCAAAGCUUUGCUUUGUCUUAAUAAUUAGGGUGGUACCGCGAACUUCUCGUCCCUGAC